rnacentral:rRNA from 1 species
GAUGAACCGUGCGAACGUUGUUCGGAAUCACUGGGCUUAAAGGGCGCGUAGGCGGGUGUGCAAGUCUGCGGUGAAAGCCUCCAGCUUAACUGGAGAAGUGCCGUGGAUACUGCUCAUCUUGAGGAGGGUAGGGGCAUCUGGAACGGUCGGUGGAGCGGUGAAAUGCGUUGAUAUCGACCGGAACUCCGGUGGCGAAGGCGAGGUGCUGGACCCUUUCUGACGCUGAGGCG